UACAGAGGUCUCAAGCGUUGUUCGGAUUCAUUGGGCGUAAAGGGUGCGUAGGUGGCGUCGUAAGUCAGGUGUGAAAUUUCGGAGCUUAACUUCGAAACUGCAUUUGAUACUGCGGUGCUUUGAGGACUGGAGAGGAGACUGGAAUUUACGGUGUAGCAGUGAAAAUGCGUAGAGAUCGUAAGGAAGACCAGUGGCGAAGGCGGGUCUCUGGACAGUUCCUGACACUGAGGCACGAAGGCCAGGGGAGCAAACAGG
rnacentral:rRNA from 1 species